rnacentral:SRP_RNA from 1 species
GCUAGGCACGGUGACGCGUGCCUGUAGUCCCAGCUACUCAGGAGGGCUGAGGCUAGAGGAUCGCUUGAGUCCAGGAGUUUUAGGCUAUAGAGCACUAUGCCGACCGGGUGUCUGCACUAAGUUCGGCAUCAAUAUGGUGACCUCCAGGAGCAUGGGACCACCAGGUUGCCUAAGGAGGGGUGAACCGGCCCAGGUUGGAAACGGAGCAGGUCAAAACUCCCGUGCUGAUCAGUAGUGGGAUCGCGCCUGUGAAUAGCCACUGCACUCCAGCCUGGGCAACACAGCGAGACCCCGUCUCU